AAUUUUAUAGUUUAAAAAGAACAUUAAAUUGCAAAUUUAAAAGUAAAUUAAUUUAAAAUUU
rnacentral:tRNA from 2 species